GCUGAGCGCUCAGGGCGCGGGCACUCCUGAGUCCCCGGUUCCUAAGCAGCGUCCGGAACCUCCUCCUCGGCUCCCGCCGCCGCCGCCGCCGCUUCUGCCGCCGCCGCCGCCUCUUCCGCCCGCGGAGCCGGAGCCCGAGCCCAGCGCCGCUCACUCCACCCGGCUGGCCGUAGGGCACCCUCCUCCCCUUUUGACCUUUGGAUGACCACGGUGCCUAGGACCCCUGGGAGGCACAGAGAAACAUUUACUAGGGACAACUUUUGAGUGUCAGACCCUGUGGACACAAAGAAAAAGCUUGGGUUCCUGCCUUCAAGGGGCUCACAGUUGAGUGGGGAAGACAGACACGUAAAUGAAGAACAAUAACAGACUGUGCUGAGUACUGGAAUGGAAGUGCAGCAGGAACUCAGAAGAGGUCAUCACUGGAGGGGCCACCUCUGGGAAGGCUUCACCAAGGAAGUAUAAUUGGAGCUCUGUCUUGAUGUUCAAAUAAGAGCUGCAGAGAGGGUGCUAUCGAGCAGCACAUAAUCACUUAAUUACAUAUUGCUUUGUAUUCUUCUUCGAUUGUUUAGUAUGCUUGUCUUGACUUCUCCGUGAGGCUAAUCAGCUCAAGAUCAGGGACAGGCCUAGCACUCUCUGUUCUCCCAGAGCCUAACAGUGGCCCUGGACAAACACCAUGUGUUCAGAAAAGGCUUGUUGACUUGAAGCAGAUUAACAAUCCAGGCUUCUCUGGGAAAGCUGCCUGGAGGAACCCCAGUCCCCACUAUAAGAGUCCCCCAGCUCAUCCCUAGCAAGGCACCCACAUCUGAAUUCCCCAUCAGUGGCCACCUCCUCCUGCCAUAGGGGUGAGACUUCACCAAAAUACACUUGUUCAUGCUGCCCCAGAUGUCUUUAUUGAGGCCUCUCAUUUGACCCAAAUACAUUAACAAGUGAUUGCUGAGAUACAGUCCCAAAC
rnacentral:lncRNA from 1 species